GAUGAACGCUAGCUAUAGGCUUAACACAUGCAAGUCGAGGGGAAACGGCAUUAUGUGCUUGCACAUUUUGGACGUCGACCGGCGCACGGGUGAGUAUCGCGUAUCCAACCUGCCCUUUACUUGGGGAUACCCCGUUGAAAGACGGCCUAAUACCCGAUGUAAUUCAUUGAUGGCAUCAGAUAUGAAUAAAAGAUUUAUCGGUAAAGGAUGGGGAUGCGUCUGAUUAGCUUGUUGGUGAGGUAACGGCUCACCAAGGCGACGAUCAGUAGGGGUUCUGAGAGGAAGGUCCCCCACAUGGGAACUGAGACACGGUCCAAACUCCUACGGGAGGCAGCAGUGAGGAAUAUUGGUCAAUGGGCGCAAGCCUGAACCAGCCAAGUAGCGUGCAGGAAGACGGCCCUAUGGGUUGUAAACUGCUUUUAUACGAGAAUAAUUUGAUGCACGUGUGCGUUAUUGCAUGUAUCGUAUGAAUAAGGACCGGCUAAUUCCGUG
rnacentral:rRNA from 1 species